UCUUCUGGGUGUAGACUGUAGAGGAUCACAGUCCAGCUAUGCAAAACAUUAAUAGUUUCUUUCUGUGGAGUUUUCUACUGAAAAUGUGUAUCUACCUGGCAAGUUUUAAGGACUCAUAAGGAAGAAUGAACCUUACCAGCAUCUUUUACGCUGCACACUGUUACUUUUUCAACGACUUCUUAGUGGUAAAACAGAAUUCAUAACAUACUUGUGGAUGUGACUUUUUAGUUUGAUCUGCUGUUUUGACCAACAUAAACCAUGUUUCAUUCUACUAAGAAAGACAUUUUGAAAUUUUUUACCUGCAAAGAAAUGGUCAGUCAUGAAAAACAGAAAAUAAUAUUUACUAAACGAGAUUUUGCUAUUAUUAUUUUUGGGCUUGUAGUUUAUAUAUCUGAUGUUGGAACAGAUCUCUGGAUGGCAAAGAACCUUUUGUGUGAAGGCCAGUAUUUGAGGGGUACUUUAAUACUGUUCACAGGACUGUUUUCAUCAAUAAUUAUUCAGUUUUUCAGUUACACUUGGUUUAAAGAAGAUGAUGUUGAAAAGCUUGAUUGGUUGUUUUUUCUAUUACAUUCCUUAUGUGGUGGAAUAUUUAUAAGAUACUGCUUCAUACUGAAACUUGGAUUUCAGGCUGUAUUUCAAUCAAACAGCUCCACCGACAACAUUCAUAACUUAUGCAUCAAUGAAAUGGCUGAUAUAAGCAUGCUCCAGCUAUUUAAAGCCUUCCUGGAAAGCACAGCCCAGCUUAUCCUUCAGAUCCACAUUGUGAUGGCAUCUGACUGUUCUCCCUUUUAUCAGUAUGCUUCCAUUGCCUUGUCUUUCGGCAGCAUUUCCUGUGCAACAGUGAGCUAUCAGAUAGUUUUACGAAAAUCUCUGCCUGAUAAGAAUGAAUUUAGUGGGAUAUUUUGCAAACUAAUAUAUCUUUUCUAUAAACUGAUGACAUUAACUUCUUGGAUACUUACCAUUGUGCUAGUCACAAUGCUGAGCAUUGCAGGUUCUAUUGUUCUGCUUAUAUUGCUUUGGUUUGGGAAUCUAAGCUGGGUGAUAAAGCAAAACACUGAAUUUUGUAAAUUUAAAGCAGCAGAAUAUGUUUACAGAAUGAUUGUGGGAAUCAUUCUCAUUUUUACCUUUUUUAAUAUCAAGGGAGAAAACACAGUAAUUGUUCAGUUUGUCUAUUAUGUUUUUCGAAUAAUUGUAACUUUAAUUAUUCUGUGUAUGUGUAGGUUCUGGAAAUCAUUAUUUGAUGAAAAAAUAUAUUUGUCAACAUUGAUUAGUGCAGCUGCAAUCUCCCUUGUAUUAGGAGCUGCCAUAAGGAAAAUCUCCCUUGUCCCUAAUCUGAGAUGAAUGUUUACCCAGUCUGCCAGUGGAACUGACCUUGCUUUCGUGAUUACUUAUUCAGUUAUAUAACACCGAACACAACAGCCAGGAAUAUCUUGGAUGAAGAACUAUUUGGCACUCCUGCAUGUGCCAUCUGUGACAAUGACAGAACGAUGGAGAGCUGCUAAAUAAUUCUAGGGACUCACCUGAAAUGUCUGUUCAACGAAUAAACUAAAGGUGUUUGGCACGACUGUUCAGAAAAGGCCAGGAAGGACCAGGAGACACUGUAGAGACUGUCAUCGGUGAAUGCAAGGUUGGCCACUGAAUGAAAACUGAAGAAGGGUCUGCCACCAAUCCACUCCUUGGGAUAAGUAUCUGGAUGAUACACGUUAUGUGAUAAAACUUGUCUUAAUCACAUUCCUGCUUUAAAGUUUUAGGAAGAGUGGAGACCAUGCAAUCCCAAACUCCUUUUUUUGCUACCCCUUCAAGGGUUUCUGAGUGCACUGCCAGAUGUAUGAAUGCUAAAAACUGGAAGAGGUUUCUCAUGGUGUAAAACUGUUGUAUGAGCCAUAAUUUGGUUUAAUACGUUUAAGAAAAAAACAUAAAAGCAUGGACAUAUGGUAUCAGCCUCCCUUUGAAUCUUCCCACUCUGAUUCUUGCCCAUUACCCAAACACUGUGUGGUCCUCGAUAACCUGUCUACACUCUCUCAGGUUUAGGAUAGGUCUACAGGAGGGGAUAUCGAAGAGUCUGAGUUCACAGCAAAACAAUUUGGCCACAAGAAACCAAGCUUGCCUUCUGCUUUUGUGUCCAAGCAAAAUAACUGUCCCAUAAGUGCAAAACCAAUGCUUCUUGCAGAACAAAAUGUCAGAUUUGAGAUCUAGGACCUUGCAGAAUUUUACAAAUCUAGAACUUUUCAGAAUUUGCAAGAAAAUUCUAUGAGGUGCACUCUGGGAAAUCAUCCCUUGCCAUGGGGGUCCAUGGGGAGGGUAACAAAUUACAACACCUGUGUUUCAGUGUCACAACACAAACGCCAUUCCUUGCAAACUUGCAUGGGAUAUUACAUUUUGUUAUUUUGGCCUCAUCAUGACUAGUUGCAGAUGUCCCUGCCUCUUGCUGCUAACAGCAGCUCAAUCAUACAGAGCAGUGAUUGUGGGGUGUUUUAUUUCUGCCUUCCUCAACCUGGUACCUUCCGGAUACGUUUGGACUGCAGGUCUCAGAAUUCCCUGUCAGUACAUCUGAAAGCCUAAUGCCCAGGUUGGGAAAGGUAACCCUAGACAUAAAGGUUGAAAAAAGAAUCCCUUAUGGAUUCUGCAUGAAAACAUCAAACAGGCCAUAUUCCAUGUGAUUCACGAGAUAAAUGACUGGAUUUCUCAGUAUUUUUUUCCCCUAAGGAGGAGCAGGAAAAGACUGUUGCUUGAAACAGCCCAUAAAGCAAGAGUCAGGGAAGUUCUGCUCUGCUUUCCCUUCCAUGGCACAUGGAGAGAGAGCCGAGUCCACAUUGCGCCAUGGCUCUCAUCCAUAUUGCGUACCAACAAAGCUGCUUUUCAGAAUUUUUUUUAAAAAGUUGAACCAUAGAUUUCACUGGUGUCAUAUGCAGUUUGGCCCUGCUUUCAGACCCUCAGAUUAAAAAUGAUAGUUCACAAUAUAUAGCUUCCUUCCUUUGUUUUUAAUGGAAUCAUCCUGAGUUCUUGUAAAGGUUCAUUUUCUGCUUGAUUUCCUAGCAUUUGCUUUGGGUUCCCAGAGAGACUCCAGGUAUGAGUCUGAGGAGAAACCCAAUAUACUGAGUACUUUAAAGUGAACAUUCAUCAUUUAACUUGCCUUCUGUCACUGCCUUCAAGGGAGAUGGGGGAAACUAAAAACAAUCUCCUGUUUCCCUCUAAAAAGCACCAAAGUUGCACACAGAUACAAUGGACUGGAACUCAUUUAUAUUCAAAGGAAGUAUACAGCUAUUAUUCAGUUGAGAAUUCUUUUUUUUUUUUUAACUCUUCUAAUGUCAAACUAUAAUGUGAAGGGAAUCAAAUUUAACCUAAGAAAAUGCCACACAAAUAUUUUCAUCACUAGCCAUACAGAGUAAAAUAGUAGAUUUUUGCAGUCUUACAGAGCACUUUUGAAUAUAUUUAUGUAGAAGGAAAUUCCAACUGUGUUUCAUGGAGCUUCUUUUGGGUUUAACUGAUCCUCUCCUUCAAAGUCUGGGUUUUAAUUGAGUUUUAGGCUGCUUUUUGUUUUGCAUUUAUUGCUGGAUAUUAUCUUUUAAUCUUGUAGCUGUCGGAUAGACAGAUAAAUUGCCUAAGUAUUUUACAGAAAUGUAUAGUUAUUGAUAGCAUGCUAAAAUCUGGCCUCCAAGUUCCUGAAACAGUGUACAAUGUAAGAAGUACACACAUCUUUUUUAAAAAAUCUUGUUUUGUAAUAAAGCCAUUUGCAGUUGCAUACUAGGCCUUAAAUCUGGAAAAAUUUUCUUAAGUUUUCUUAAGUUAAAUAUAUGCUUUGUGAUACUCAGGGAAUGCAACCCCCACCCACGCCUCUACUGUAUGCUGAUUAGAAAACUCUCCUACUGAUGAGGGAGUCUGCCCUCUCUGUGUAUAUGUGUGUAUACACACAAAAACAACACCCUCACAAUCACCCCCACUCUCACUCCCACCCCCAUCUUUUCUCUAAAGAGCUCAAGAUAGCCUGUAUAGGGUCAUGUGGUUGAACUAGAAUUUGACUCUGGAUCUCUCCAGUUGUAACCCCAGACUUUAACCACUAUACCAUGGUCUGAUUCAGAAAAAGGAAGCUAUGUAUGACUCAACUGGGAUAUUUAAUAAACUCCAAGAAACUUGGGGACAGGACAGUCACUGAGAUCACAAGGCACACCUUCUUUUCACUAUAUCCUAUGUCAAUCAAUAUUGUUUCUCCAUUGCUCUGUGUUAGCUGGAAUCAGGGGUGCCAUAAUAACAGUACAUAUUUAACUUCAAAAUCUUUGCUUCCUUGUGUGAAGUAUAUUGGUCCAGUCCUGAGUUAUACUUUCAGUGAGGCCCCCUCUACAGACCAGUGUGAGCCAAAAUCCAAUUUGAACAAUCAGAUUUGGAAAACCAAUCUAAUUUAAUUUGAUUCUUCAAAUCUAUCUGGAAAAUCAUCCUCAUUGAGUAGUUGAAUCUGGUUAAUUAGGAUUGCUGAAUUAGUUUGGAAAAAGCUAUUUCUGCACAUGUGCAGGAAUGUACGGACUGUCUGAAUUGUUCUAGAGGCAUCUUAUUUAAUGCAGUCAUAUGAAAUGAUUUAUCAGCUUAAUUUGGAAGAUCAACUUGAUUCUGAAAUUCAUUUAAGUAAACUUUGAAAUGAUUUCUGUACUGAAUAUUUGCACAGUUCCAGCUCUCUCUGUGGGUCACAGGAUAAUUGUACCUCUAAAAGAAGGCCCUUCUGGCUUGUUUUUAGUUGGUUCCUUAGCCAAAUAAGGUGAGGAAAAAUAUCAAUGGUCCCUCCUUAUUGCAAAUUGUGUUAUUUCAAUCAUACAUCUCCAACUUCAUGCACUGUAUUUGUCCAAGCACUACAGGAUGAUUAGAAUAAAUGCCAUAUACAAAACAAAGAUGAUGGAAGAAGCCAUGGAAAUAACCUUGGAGAAGGCAUCCAGAAGCGGUUAGGGCAACAACAGGUGCAGAAGAAGCAUGUGUGAACCCAGGGGGGCAGGAAGGUGUUAGAAAGAGACACAGUCUGGCUUUCCCCUAACUCCCUAGGUUAUAAGAGGGAGGGAAGGGAAAACAUGGGCAGACUUGCAAAGAUUCUGUCUUAAUACAGUUUCUAUCUCGCUUCUUCAAAGUCCAACUUUCGCUUCAAUAGAGAAUCACAGGGAAUACCAUGUUUGGCACGAUUCUGAUCUUUGUAGCUAUAGAUACAUCAAAUAGAACUGUUGUAUAACUGUGAAAAAAAUAAUAUUUGUGUUUUAUGAAUACAUAAUACCUCAUCUUCAUAUGUUUUAAUCAAAAAGGCAUGUCUGUUACCAAAAACUGAAGAAUGAGAGCCAGUUUGGUGUAAUGGUGAAGGAGAUGGCCCAGAAACCAGGAGUCUGGGAGUUGUAGGCAUCCCUUAGGCAUGAAAGCUGGCUGGGCCAGUCACUCUCUCUCAGCCCAACCCACCUCACAGGGUUGUUGUUGUGGGGGAAAUAGGAGGCAGGAAUAUCAGGUAUGUUUACUGCCUUCAGUUGACCAAAUUAAAAAAAAAAGAAGCAGGAUUAAAAA